GACGAACGCUGGCGGCGUGCUUAACACAUGCAAGUCGAACGGAAAGGCCCUGCUUUUGUGGGGUGCUCGAGUGGCGAACGGGUGAGUAACACGUGAGUAACCUGCCCUUGACUUUGGGAUAACUUCAGGAAACUGGGGCUAAUACCGGAUAGGAGCUCCUGCUGCAUGGUGGUGGUUGGAAAGUUUCGGCGGUUGGGGAUGGACUCGCGGCUUAUCAGCUUGUUGGUGGGGUAGUGGCUUACCAAGGCUUUGACGGGUAGCCGGCCUGGGAGGGUGACCGGCCACAUUGGGACUGAGAUACGGCCCAGACUCCUACGGGAGGCAGCAGUGGGGAAUAUUGCACAAUGGGCGGAAGCCUGAUGCAGCAACGCCGCGUGCGGGAUGACGGCCUUCGGGUUGUAAACCGCUUUCGCCUGUGACGAAGCGUGAGUGACGGUAAUGGGUAAAGAAGCACCGGCUAACUACGUG
rnacentral:rRNA from 1 species